rnacentral:tRNA from 1 species
AGUUCCGUAGUGAAAUUCACGUUAAAUUGCAAAUUUAGAAGUGUAGGGUAGAAUCUACCGGGACUU